GACAGUCAAGAAGGCGUCCGUGGGAUACAGAAGCAUUCCAAGCUUACAUGCCAACCAAAACAUCAGUUCUUUUUUUGGACUGGGACCACACCACUGGCUCUCCUGGUUCUCAGGCCUUUGCACUUGGACUAGAACUUACAUCGUCAGGACUCCUGGGUCUCCAGCUGGCGUGACUGCGGAUUUUGGGACUUAGGCUCCAUAAUCAGGAUGAAGGGGCUGAGAUUCAGAUUUUGCAGAGGAACAUCUGAGUUGCCAUUUCUGGAU